GAGACAUCAACACUUGAGUGACCACUCCAGACUGCCAGCGUGCCCUUGCAUUUGUGCAAGGUGAUACUGAACCAUCCUGACUCUUCAGCCAAGGAAGCUCUCCUAACACAUCCUGCUGUAGGAGAACAAUCCUGACUCAGCUUUUGUAACCCAAUUUCAACAUGUAAACGAGGUCUCUUAACACCCUUCCUAACACUACACUCUACUUACAGUAAACUUCUUCAGAAGUCCAGCAUCUUCCCUUAUUUUACAAGGAUGGAAAGAAUAUGACGAAGGGCAGCUCAGCUGACACACAGAGAGCACAGGAACAGGCUCCACUGAUGGUGCUGGGUUUCUAAAACACCCAGGAUGCAUUACAGCCCCCAAGCUUGCGAAAGAACACACGUCAAAGCACCAGCCUCAAAUGCAACAGUAAAGCCAGCUGGGGCAGAUGUCUGAGACAGCCCCUGUCCCACCCAGUGUGAUUGCUUCAGACUUGUGUGAGACCUACAGACCACAGAGAAAUCCCCCCUACAGCAUCUAGGAUCCAACCAUGACACGGAGACAAUUUGUUAUAGUUUCACCUGCACGGAGAUUACCCAAACUAACCUCCAAACAAGGAUGUACAAGAGAAUGUCACCCUGAAUGAAGUGGGAAUCUAUUCAAGAUCCAUGGAAUAACAGCCUGAACCCUGCUUAGUUUAGCAGCACCCACGUGGGCACAUUUGACAGAAGUGUUGGGAUGAAGCCAGCUUUGUCAACAUCCAUGCCUGGAGCUUCUGAAGAGCUCCCACCCACGGCUGGCACACACCCACUGCCCUCCCCUCAAAGCACACACGCCAUGCUCCCGGACUCCAGCUUCAAAGUUUGAAGAUGGUCUAGUACUGCCAGGGGGAUUUCUGGGAAUCCCAUCACAAGCUUCACACAACCCUUAAAAACUUCCUUUAGCGUCAGACCCUUAUCUGUUCAUUCUCUGUGAAGUGGGAUUAGUAGAACUUCACGGCAUGAGGGAUUUUGAAAAUACAGUCGUUCAGAAAUCAAGAGAUGCAUAACUUUUAUACAGAGGCAUUUCCUAAUCAUAUUGCAAAACAACAAAUACUUUUUCUGAAACAGACUGAAGAACUUUGUUAACAGGAGACAAAUACUACAAAAUUAUGUUCAAAAACCCCAAAUUAGUUGCUGUAACUUUUGGGAAACUUAGUUACUAGCACAAAAAAAACCAACCAGACUAAAUGCAUAAGAACACCUGAAAAGAUUAAAAAACCUCAGAUUAAAAAAUAAAAUAGUUAUAGAAUUAAAUACUAACAUUCCAUACUGGGAGUUAAUCAACAGCUCACAUCUAAGUAGGCAUAAUAUACUAAAAGUUUACAUAUGGACAGACAGUUUCAUGGAUAAUAAAUCCAA